ACGGACGAGAAGCUUGCUUCUCUGAUGUUAGCGGCGGACGGGUGAGUAACACGUGGAUAACCUACCUAUAAGACUGGGAUAACUUCGGGAAACCGGAGCUAAUACCGGAUAAUAUUUUGAACCGCAUGGUUCAAAAGUGAAAGACGGUCUUGCUGUCACUUAUAGAUGGAUCCGCGCUGCAUUAGCUAGUUGGUAAGGUAACGGCUUACCAAGGCAACGAUGCAUAGCCGACCUGAGAGGGUGAUCGGCCACACUGGAACUGAGACACGGUCCAGACUCCUACGGGAGGCAGCAGUAGGGAAUCUUCCGCAAUGGGCGAAAGCCUGACGGAGCAACGCCGCGUGAGUGAUGAAGGUCUUCGGAUCGUAAAACUCUGUUAUUAGGGAAGAACAUAUGUGUAAGUAACUGUGCACAUCCUGACGGUACCUAAUCAGAAAGCCACGGCUAACUACGUGCCAGCAGCCGCGGUAAUACGUAGGUGGCAAGCGUUAUCCGGAAUUAUUGGGCGUAAAGCGCGCGUAGGCGGUUUUUUAAGUCUGGUGUGAAAGCCCACGGCUCAACCGUGGAGGGUCAUUGGAAACUGGAAAACUUGAGUGCAGAAGAGGAAAGUGGAAUUCCAUGUGUAGCGGUGAAAUGCGCAGAGAUAUGGAGGAACACCAGUGGCGAAGGCGACUUUCUGGU
rnacentral:rRNA from 1 species